rnacentral:rRNA from 1 species
UACGUAGGGCGCAAGCGUUGUCCGGAAUUAUUGGGCGUAAGGAGCUCGUAGGCGGCCUGUUGCGUCCGCUGUGAAAUCCCGGGGCUUAACCCCGGGCUUGCAGUGGAUACGGGCAGGCUGGAGGCAGGCAGGGGAGAACGGAAUUCCCGGUGUAGCGGUGAAAUGCGCAGAUAUCGGGAGGAACACCGGUGGCGAAGGCGGUUCUCUGGGCCUGUACUGACGCUGAGGAGCGAAAGCGUGGGGAGCGAACAGG